GAGGGUGUUGUCUGAGACUGAUCUUGGCGAGCAGCAAAAUCAGGACUUGAGAGGGACUCUCUGGAGGCAUGAAAGCCCCACUGGCCUCAAUGUCCCUCCUUCUUCUAAACAAAUACAUCUUGAAGAAGAGGAAGGAUUAAAGAGACCAAAUGCUUGGAUUGCGUGUAAAAGAGAACACAUGAAUCUGCUUUACCCACAAUGAUGAUGGAUCCCCAUCAAAGAGCUUUUCCUUCCGAGGAUCAGAAGUCAUCUGACACAGUGGAUGCAGAUCAGACUCUUUAAGACAAAUGCUACUUGCAAGUAGAGUGAAAAAGAUGAUAAGAUUUAAGAAUCAAACCUGUUGGAUUCUGCACCUGAUUCUGUCAAAGAGUGGACUGACACUGGGAACAUGUCAUUUAAUUUUCUGAUUCAUCAUCAAGACCUUUGCAUGUGCGUGGCCAUCAUUUCCUUGUAGGGAUGGAUAGCUGAAAAAUCAGAAUCUACCACGAUCCUCUGAUGAGAGAGACUCUUCCUAAAUCAUCUCUGAAUGAACGGGGAAGCCAUCUGACAGAACCCAAAAGAGAGCUGGGGUCCCAAACCAAGAUAUUCGAAAAGCAAGGCAUGACAAAGACGACAACACCACAGGAGGACCUGCAGCCCCUGAAUCACUGAGAUGGGCAGCUUUACAGGAGCCAUGACAAGAGUCUGAUUCAUUCCUGCACCAGGGCACGCUGGCACGUCCUGCUUCCUGAACUGCAGUGAUUCAUCACAACCCCAGGCAGCCAAUCACGGGCGGGUCAACGUGGAAAGAGGUGAGGGGACAGCUGAGCUGCCCUGGGAACACAUGUCACCCUCCCCCCACAGAUGUCAUUCCCCGUUAACUGUGACGGUCUUGACAUAAAAGAAAAUGUGCUGGGAUCUGUCACAGUCAGAAAAAAGCUAUGGAUCAGAUAAACAUACCUGCAUGGAACAACCCCUAAUGAUAUCGCUUGAAGUAGAAGGCUGCGUCUGGGAACAAAGGGUACCUCAUCCCAAAUGACGGUUAACCGGCACAUUGCUGAGUUGAGUAGAGGGUCUCUCUCUCUCUCUCUCUCUCUCUCUCUCUCUCUCUCUCUCUCUCUUACAUGUACAUCUAGCUUCCAUCUCAGUCCGACCUCUGGAGAUGGGUACCAUGGGAUCAGAAAGCUGCUUCAGCUCUAGGACACGUCAUUUCAAUUCUUAAUGGGCUACAACAUUGAAACCUCACAUAAGCUUUCCUUCCUCUGACACCCUCUUCCCCAUGUCAGUUAAGUGACAUGCCAUGGAUCUUAAUCUUCUCCAAAAACCACUGCCUCUUCUUUCCUACAGAAUGAAAGUCACUGAGAGUUCAGAAAAAUUCCCAAAGCCAGUAAUAACCAAGAGAGAAGCAAGAGUAGUUUGAUGAAAGGAGAACCCGCCCCCACCCCCCUCCCCGGCCAACAAAUUCCCCAGGAAUUACCAAAUGUAGAAAGAAAUUCAAGGAAGGCUAAUCAAGAUGAUCUAAGGCGUUAUUGCAACUGGGUGAAAUAUACUUGUUACCGCUGGAGGAGAAGGGCAGAUAAAUGCUGUGGAGCUACAGGAGAUGUUUCUUAACAAACUGCAUUCUGUUAAUGACUUCUACUGAAAUCUCUAAACCAGAAACUAAGUUGGAUACUUCUAGUUUCCUCACUGCCAUGAUUAUGCCAAAUCAAGCUAUGUUUUUCAUCGACAGAUUCUGACCCUUAAAUACAGAAUGAUCAUUCCCACCUAACACUCUUGCUUUUGUAUAUUACCUUCUUUUCAUCAUCCUAGGUGUUUCCAGGGCUGCGAGCAAUGAACUUGCCAUCAGCCGCAUUUUCACCUAAUUAACCGCCCUGAUUACAAUAAUUAGUAUUGAUUCACUCUUCGAAUGACUUCCUGGGUGUCCCAGCACAAUCUACACUUGCUCUAAAGUUCUAGAUAUGAAUAUUAAUCAGACGCCUUUCUUUGUUUUUCAGCCCCAAAGGGAUAUUUUGCAAUUGUACACACUCAUAUUUUGAAAAAGAAAAACUGUGCGGUUUCAUUUUCACAAAUAAAGGACUAUUGAUACGUCGAGGUUACAGAUCUCAGCCUGUGGUCUGCUGAACACAGCUAUGUAUUCCUCAGUCUCCUGUGUGAAGGGACUCCUCGGGGUGCAACUGCAACUCUACUGAAAGAAGCCAUUUUCCCAGUUUGACUCUUCUGCUAUUCCUUUUCUGCAAGUCUGGGCUUAGAAUUAAAAGUCACUUUGACCUGUGUUGAGGUCACCCUGGAAGGGAAUCAUCCCACAUAGAGGCUGACGGCAGGAUACAGAUUACGUAUCUUGUUACUGCUGUGGGAAUAGAUGUAGACAAGUUUGCCAACUUCGGCCAUCUCCUACUUCCCCAUCAGGCUAAAGGAAAAGAUAGCUGCGUGUCAGACACUUGAAUGGGGGUCUUGGAAUUCUGAAAGCUGGUCAUGGGCUAAAGCACAAGUGGGAAGGGAGUUCCCUUGUUCUUGGACCUAAUAUGAUCACCCAGGAAUUAAAGUGAAUAGAUCACAGGUAAAUGAUUUAUAAUUUAGUCAAAAAUUUAACGUGUAGGUUUCCAAGACAUUUCUUUAUUUCAGCAUGCUUCUGACAGGCAGCUGGGGAACACAGGACACUGCUUUUUUUCCCAAACCACAAAAAAUUGCUUUGUGACCUUUGUUUUGGAAUAAAAAUUUCCCAUGAAUGCAGAAUCUAGGUGUGCUGGUAACAGUGGGCCAGUUUCAGAUAUAAAGCUUCACCAAUUACCUUCUAUGAGCUCAUCCUAAAAGCAAUUACUGGCAUACCCAAUGGAAUGAGCAGUUCAGAUCCCUUUGGAAGUAAGAGAACAUAAUCAUAAAAUCCACUUUAUUCACACUGGAUGACU